rnacentral:rRNA from 1 species
GAUCCUGGCUCAGGAUGAACGCUAGCGACAGGCUUAACACAUGCAAGUCGAGGGGCAGCGGGGAGUAGCAAUACUUCGCCGGCGACCGGCGCACGGGUGAGUAACACGUGUGCAACCAACCCCGUACCGGGAGAUAACCCGCGGAAACGUGGACUAACAUCCCAUAACACUGUAUCAUCGCAUGGUGAUGCAUUUAAAAUUCCGGUGGUACGGGACGGGCACGCGCGACAUUAGGUAGUUGGCGGGGUAACGGCCC